UACGAAGGGGGCUAGCGUUGCUCGGAAUCACUGGGCGUAAAGCGCACGUAGGCGGAUCUUUAAGUCAGGGGUGAAAUCCCAAGGCUCAACCUUGGAACUGCCUUUGAUACUGGGGAUCUCGAGUCCGGAAGAGGUUGGUGGAACUGCGAGUGUAGAGGUGAAAUUCGUAGAUAUUCGCAAGAACACCAGUGGCGAAGGCGGCUCACUGGCCCAUAACUGACGCUGAGGCACGAAAGCGUGGGGAGCAAACAGG
rnacentral:rRNA from 1 species